GGCACAAAAGCCUAUAUUAGGAGUGGCCGUGGUAGAUGGCCUCAGGAUUCCAGUGUGUUAUCUCGAUUCUACUGAUCUAACAUCUACUUCCUCCCCCUGAGAAGUCUCUUUCAACUCUGAACCUCUUAUACAAGAUCCUGACCUGGUUCAGUCCUGGGAGAGCUCAUCAUCUAAUGAAGACGAUAUGACCUAUAUUCUGAUAUUCCUAGGGGAGACUCUGGGUGAAGACACAAGACAAAAAGUGAUUUCUCCAAAAAACAAAGACCAGAUGGUGACCUGACCCUAAAUGACUGUAACUUGAUCCCCACUUUCAUUUUCCUUUCACAAAGAAUAAUAAUUCUGAUUUAACAAGACCCUGAAAAGGACCACCUAACCAGAGCAGCCCUUUGUUACCCUUCUUACAGAAUGCCCUGGGAUCCAGGGCUGGCUUGGGAGAUUUCAGGAAAUCAAUCUAUGGACAAAGUCACUGGUGCAGGGUGUAUUGAUCCAGAGCUCCUGGGGAUUGGAAAGCCCUGAUAUAAUGGGCAGCCAUGACUAGAGAUUACAACCUUGCUCUUUCCGUAGACAUAUGUAUUGGGUUUCUGAAAAUGCAAAGGACGGAUGCGCUCAUCCUCCUCAGGGAUUAUUGGGUCAUUUCUCAGCAUGUCUGGCAUCUGAACAGGAGCUCGGCCUGAUGAAUCACAUCCAGCAUCGAUAGUUCAAGCAGGAGAAAUCUGAAAUUGGAGCAGAGAUUUAAGCACUUCCUGGCACACAGACUUUCAUCUUUGAGGACUAAUUUGCAGUGUGCAUUUUAUACAUCUUUAUAGGGUCUUGCUGCCAUCUCAGGCACCUUAUUUCUUGGCAAAUGGAGGUGGAUUGGCAUUUAUAAGCGAAUGUGUUGUAUGGAAGUGAUUGCCUUGACACAUAUUUUAUUGGAAGGUGACAUCGAUAUAUUUUCCGUGUGUGUCUGUCCAUCUGGGCAAUAUUCCAUUUUGGAAAGAAACGCUAACAACUGCAUCAUUAACCAAGGGAGAGGGCCAUUCCUCAAUGAUGCUACAGAAAAAAGAUGAAUGUGGAUCAUCAUAUCAAGUGUUGUCAGUGUUGGCUAUCAUCUCAGCAGUUCAAAGUGCCGAUUUUAACCUCUGACAUCUAAUGCUAUUUUAUAUCCCACCUUAUACCCUGGAUAUCUCAUGUCCCAGGGAAGUUUUGCACUAACUCAGAGGGACAGGAAUAUUCCCUCUGAAAGUCCUUUGUUUUAGGCCUUGGGCAGAAUUGAGGAGUGUGAUUGGGCUGUUUUUUCCCAAUGGACGACUAUUUCAUCUUUCAAAUGGGCCCCUCUAAAAAAUGUUGUCAGAAAAUAAGGAUGCUAUAAAUGCAUAUUAGUAUAAAGCACAGAAAUCAAAUCACAAGAUCAAAGGAUGUCUGAGUAUGGGGUCAUCUAGAAUGAUUUCCACCUAUGUAAAAACUAGUUCUGCAAUAGAGUCAAUUAAACUCCACAAGCAUUUACUAAGUACCUACUAGAGGCAAAGGACUGAGCUAAAUGCAAGUAAGAGAUGGAAAGUACGGGUACGGCACAGUUCCUGCCAUCCUGUGAUUUACAGUUUACUAACUAGAGUAGCAAGAUUAGAGCAGCAAGAAAAGAGGGAAUUGAGGGGAAUAGAACCACAAGUGUUUAAUUGUGGGAAUCUGGUGAGUGAAUCAUGUUCACUCCAUCUUGACCCCAUCUUGUGAUUCAAUUCCUUUUCUAUUCAUUAUAGAUGUAGUCCAAAUUCUGUCUUGUGACAAAGUUAUUCCAUUGUAGGAAGUGGGAGAAAACUUUAUUGUACUGUUUGAACAUACUCCUGUGUGGCUGGGAAGCUGGACUACCUAGUGUUUAGAGACACUUAAAAAAGGACCUAGAUUGUGCUGGUCUUUAUUAGAUUGUGCUGGUUUUAUUAGAAAGAGAGAGAAAAUUCAAACAGAAUGGAAAAUGUAUAAAAUAUAGGGAACUUCUAGAACUGAGAAAAGUCAGCUUGGUGGCAGAGUGAAUAGAAUGCUGGGUCUAGAAUUCAGGCAACUCCAAAGAUUGAUGCAAGGAGUUUUUUCACAAUUAUAUUUCUUAAGUAACCCAUAUAUCUUAUAUGAAAACUGCCGAUGUACUGAUCUAUCAGUUUUUGUUUCCAUGUUCCUUUGAGUAUUUACAGACCCCCAGGGGAAUAAGACACAUCUCUUUCUCUCUCUUUUUUUUUUGUUAUAUUUUAUUUUAUUUAAUAAUAACUUUAUAUUGACAGAACCCAUGCCAGGGUAAUUUUUUUUUACAACAUUAUCCCUUGCACUCGUUUCUGUUCCGAUUUUUCCCCUUCCUCCCUCCACCUCCUCCCCUAGAUGGCAAGCAGUCCUAUGUAUAUUAGAUAUGUUGCAGUAUAUCCUAGAUACAAUAUAUGUUUGUAGAACCGAACAGUUUUCUUGUUGCACAGGGAGAAUUGGAUUCAGAAGAUAAAAAUAACCCGGGAAGAAAAACAAAAAUGCAAAUAGUUCACAUUCAUUUCCCAGUGUUCUUUCUUUGGGUGUAGCUGCUUCUGUCCAUCAUUUAUCAAUUGAAACUCAGUUAGGUCUCUUUGUCAAUGAAAUCCACUUCCAUCAAGACACAUCUCUUGCUGAAUUCAGGGAAUUGCGAAUGUUCAUUCUUCUCUUCCCAACUUGGAAAGUCCCUAAUCUUUCAUCUAAUUAGAAAUCAGAUCAUCUAUCACUUCACACCUCUCAGAUUGACUAAGAUGACAGGAGAAGAUAAUGAUGAAUGUCGGAGGGGAUGUGGGAAAACUGGGACACUAAUAACUGAUCCAAACAUUCUGGAAAGCAGUCUGGAACUAUGUACUAUAAUAUGUCAAUAAAUUUGAUAAUCUACCUGAAAUAGAGGAAUACCUACAAAAUAUAGCUUGGCCAGAUUAACAGAAGAGGAAAUAAAUUACUUAAAUAGUCCCAUUUUAGAAAAAAGAAAUAGAUCAAGAUAUUAAUCAACUCCCUCAAACUGUGGAUACCCUUUGAUCCCAACAGUGUCUCUACUGGUCCUGUAUCCCAAAGAGAUCAUAAAAAAAGGAAAAAGACCCAUAUGUGCAAAAAUUGAUUGUAGCAGUCCUUUUUGUAGCGGAAAGGAACUGGAAAUUGAGUUCAUCCCCAUUAGUUGGGGAAUGGCUGAAUAAGUUAAGAUAUAUGAAUAUUAUGGAAUAUUACUGUUCUAUAAGAAAUGAUCAGCAGGAUGAAUACAGAGAGGCCUGGAGAGAGUUACAUGAACUGAUGCUGAGUGAACCAGGAGAACAUUGUACACAGCAGCAGCAAGAUUAUAUGAUGAUCUAUUCCAAAGGACGUGGCUUUUUUCAACAGUGAUGUGAUUCAGGCCAGUUGUAAUGUAUUUGUGGAGAAGAAAGCCAUCUGCACCCAGAGAGAAGACUGUGGGGACUGUGGAGAUCACAAUAUAGUAUUUUUACGUCUUUUGUUGUUGUUUGCUUGCAUUUUGUUUUCUUUCUCAUUUUUUCCCUUUUUUGAUCUGAUUUUUCUUGUGCAUCAUGAUAAUUGUGGAAAUAUGUAUAGAAGAAUUGCACAUAUUUAACAUAUACUGGAUUAUUUGCCAUCUAGGGAGGGGUUGAGGGUAAGAGAGGGAAAAAUAUUUGGAAUACAAAGUUUUGCAAGGAUGAAUGUUGAAAAUUAUGCAUAUGUUUUGAAAAUAAAAAGCUUUAAUUAAAAAAAAGAAAAAAGAAAUCAGAUCACCUUAUGUUGUAUAGUUUCUUUUUAAUGCAUUGGUUUUAUUUGAUUGCUUUUAAUGUAUAAAAAAAGCUAUCUCUUCCUGUAUUAGGAGACCAGUGCCAAUGCUGAGGAAUAUUAUUGUGUAUUUGUUGAACAAUUGGCAUGCACUGCUUAAUAAAUCGAUAUGCUCACAACUCAAA